AAAUUGGACAACUCAGCAGCAGUUUACUGGGGUAAUUAAGUUUCUAUCAGAUUCAAAUGCCGAGCUGUUGCAGAAACAGAAAGAACUACAGUAGUGUUGGGCGACGACAAGCCAUAUGAUUCUUCGGAGGCUGUAGACGAUUCUAGUAAAUCAGCUUCAGUAAAUUCACUGCCGAACACACUAAAUACUGGCCCUGGGCCUCUCCAGAAACAGGAUUCGCUAGCUCUGCCUCCGGACUCGCCAGCUGUGUCAUCGGAAUCACCACCUCCAUCACCGGAACUGCCUCCGCAACUAGAACCGCUACCUUCAUCGCCAGAAUUG